rnacentral:rRNA from 1 species
AUGAACGCUAGCUACAGGCUUAACACAUGCAAGUCGAGGGGUAACAUGAUUGGAGCUUGCUCCGAUUGAUGACGACCGGCGCACGGGUGAGUAACGCGUAUCCAACCUGCCCCAUGCUCAGGGAUAACCUUCCGAAAGGGAGCCUAAUACCUGAUGUUGUGCGACGAUCGCAUGAGAAUUGCACGAAAGAUUCAUCGGCAUGGGAUGGGGAUGCGUCUGAUUAGCUUGUUGGCGGGGUAACGGCCCACCAAGGCGACGAUCAGUAGGGUUCUGAGAGGAAGGUCCCCCACACUGGUACUGAGACACGGACCAGACUCCUACGGGAGGCAGCAGUGAGGAAUAUUGGUCAAUGGGCGGGAGCCUGAACCAGCCAAGUAGCGUGCAGGACGACGGCCCUACGGGUUGUAAACUGCUUUUAUGAGGGGAUAAAGUGGGCUACGUGUAGCUUAUUGCAGGUACCUCAUGAAUAAGGACCGGCUAAUUCCGUGCCAGCCGCCGC